UACGUAGGGUGCAAGCGUUGUCCGGAAUUAUUGGGCGUAAAGAGCUCGUAGGCGGUCUGUUGCGUCGGCUGUGAAAACCCGGGGCUCAACCCGGGCCUGCAGCCGAUACGGGCAGACUAGAGUUCGGCAGGGGAGACUGGAAUUCCUGGUGUAGCGGUGAAAUGCGCAGAUAUCAGGAGGAACACCGGUGGCGAAGGCGGGUCUCUGGGCCGAUACUGACGCUGAGGAGCGAAAGCGUGGGGAGCGAACAGG
rnacentral:rRNA from 1 species